CGCGUAGGCGGUGAUCUUUGUCAGAGGUGAAAGCCCGGGGCUCAACUCCGGAAUUGCCUUUGAAACGGGAUCGCUUGAGUCCGAGAGAGGAUGGCGGAAUUCCUAGUGUAGAGGUGAAAUUCGUAGAUAUUAGGAAGAACACCGGUGGCGAAGGCGGCCAUCUGGCUCGGUACUGACGCUCAGGCGCGAAAGCGUGGGGAGCAAACAGGAUUAGAUACCCUGGUAGUCCACGCCGUAAACUAUGAAUGCUAGUUGUUAGGAAGUUUACUUCUUAGUGACGCAGCUAACGCGUUAAGCAUUCCGCCUGGGGAGUACGGUCGCAAGAUUAAA
rnacentral:rRNA from 1 species